rnacentral:rRNA from 1 species
UACGUAGGGGGCAAGCGUUGUUCGGAUUUACUGGGCGUAAAGGGCGCGUAGGCGGUCGUGACAAGUCACUUGUGAAAUCUCCGGGCUUAACUCGGAACGGUCAAGUGAUACUGUCGUGCUAGAGUACAGGAAGGGCAACUGGAAUUCUCGGUGUAGCGGUGAAAUGCGUAGAUAUCGGGAAGAACACCCGUGGCGAAGGCGGCUCUCUGGGACGGUACUGACGCUGAGACGCGAAAGCGUGGGGAGCGAACAGG